rnacentral:rRNA from 1 species
AAUCAACGCUGGCGGCGUGCCUCAGACAUGCAAGUCGAACGAUUAAAGCUCUCUUCGGAGAGUGCAUAAAGUGGCGCACGGGUGAGUAACACGUAAGUAAUCUACCUUCGAGUGGGGAAUAACAUCGGGAAACCGAUGCUAAUACCGCAUAAUGCAGCGGCAUCGCAAGAUGACAGUUGUUAAAGAUUUAUCGCUUGAAGAGGAGCUUGCGGCAGAUUAGCUAGUUGGUAAGGUAAUGGCUUACCAAGGCUACGAUCUGUAACCGGUCUAAGAGGACGGUCGGUCACACUGACACUGAAUAACGGGUCAGACUCCUACGGGAGGCAGCAGUCGGGAAUUUUGGGCAAUGGGCGAAGCCUGACCCAGCAACGCCGCGUGAAGGAUGAAGUAUUUCGGCAUGUAAACUUCGAAAGAAUAGGAAGAAUAAAUGACGGUACUAUUUAUAAGGUCCGGCUAACUACGUGCCAGCCGCCGCCGUAAU